rnacentral:rRNA from 1 species
AUGAGCGAUCGCGCCAUUUCUGGAAGCGGCAAGGGCGGUGGGUUGUACCUGUGCCGGUGCCAUCACUUGACGCUCCACCUGGAUGGCGCCGGGCUGGGAGCUGCGGGAAAUACGUGUAUUGAGGACCACGGUGUGCGGGUCAUGUGCCUGAUGCUAGACGCGAUGGUCGGGCACCAGACUGUCAUCGGCAACUACAAACAACAGAACAUGCGAGUCGUCUACAACCUUGAUAGAGCCAUGCUAUCCUUUGUGUCGGCGCACUAUAACUGUUCUGAACAAAGGAAGAACUUGUAA